AACGAACGCUGGCGGCAUGCCUAACACAUGCAAGUCGAACGAGACCUUCGGGUCUAGUGGCGCACGGGUGCGUAACGCGUGGGAACCUGCCCUUAGGUUCGGAAUAACUCCCCGAAAGGGGUGCUAAUACCGGAUAAUGUCUUCGGACCAAAGAUUUAUCGCCUUUGGAUGGGCCCGCGUUGGAUUAGCUAGUUGGUAGGGUAAAAGCCUACCAAGGCGACGAUCCAUAGCUGGUCUGAGAGGAUGAUCAGCCACACUGGGACUGAGACACGGCCCAGACCCCUAGGGGGGGGAGAAGGGGGGAAUAUGGGAAAAGGGGCGAGGGCCUAAUCCAGAAAGGCCGGGUGAGUGAUGAAGGCCUUAGGGUUGUAAAGCUCUUUACCCGGGGAUGAAAAGGAAGGAACGGGGAAAAAAACCCCGGCUAAACCCGGG
rnacentral:rRNA from 1 species